AUGAACGCUGGCGGCGUGCCUAAUACAUGCCAGUCGAGUGAACGGACGAGAAGCUUGCUUCUCUGAUGUUAGCGGCGGACGGGUGAGUAACACGUGGAUAACCUACCUAUAAGACUGGGAUAACUUCGGGAAACCGGAGCUAAUACCGGAUGAUAUUUUGAACCGCAUGGUUCAAAAGUGAAAGACGGUCUUGCUGUCACUUAUAGAUGGAUCCGCGCUGCAUUAGCUAGUUGGUAAGGUAACGGCUUACCAAGGCAACGAUGCAUAGCCGACCUGAGAGGGUGAUCGGCCACACUGGAACUGAGACACGGUCCAGACUCCUACGGGAGGCAGCAGUAGGGAAUCUUCCGCAAUGGGCGAAAGCCUGACGGAGCAACGCCGCGUGAGUGAUGAAGGUCUUCGGAUCGUAAAACUCUGUUAUUAGGGAAGAACAUAUGUGUAAGUAACUGUGCACAUCUUGACGGUACCUAAUCAGAAAGCCACGGCUAACUACGUG
rnacentral:rRNA from 1 species